rnacentral:rRNA from 1 species
UACAGAGGGUGCAAGCGUUGCUCGGAAUCAUUGGGUUUAAAGGGUGCGUAGGCGGAACGAUAAGUCAGUGGUGAAAGCCCUCAGCUUAACUGAGGAACUGCCAUUGAUACUGUCGAUCUUGAGUACAUUUGAUGUGGGCGGAAUGUGUCAUGUAGCGGUGAAAUGCUUAGAUAUGACACAGAACACCGAUUGCGAAGGCAGCUCACAAAACUGUAACUGACGCUGAGGCACGAAAGCGUGGGUAUCAAACAGGAUUAGAUACCCUUGUAGU